rnacentral:tRNA from 1 species
CGGGGCAUGGCUCAGCUUGGCUUAGAGCGCUUGGUUUGGGACCAAGAGGUCGGUGGUUCGAAUCCACCUGCCCCGACCA